ensembl:lncRNA
CCCCGCCCUCCUUAGCAGACGACUGGGUCAACACGAACAGCUUUUGGAAAGACAGUUUCUGCUGCCUCUUCUUCCAGACGUCUGACUGGAGAAUCUGAGUCUGAAAGAAGUCUCGGCCCAUUCAACGGGCGGGGGGGGGGGUUGGGGGCGAUGGGGGCGUCUGCUGCUGCAAGGACAAUUAUAACAAUAGGCCAAGUUUGGACAUUUCCCCGAAUACCGAAUGUGUGCGUGUUGUAGUGUUUUUUUUUCUCGGUAUGAGUCCAGUAUGUAAAUAUGUACGUGAAUGUGUGUUACGACAGAUUGUGGGACUUUGGCGGCUCGGGGGAGUUGGUCAAACGACAACUUCUCACAGCAAUCCAUAACUAUAUUCAAAGACUUCAAAGACAGGGUGUAAGAAUUAUUCUACACGCACAUAUUUACACUCACACACACAUUGUGUGCUUGCAUAUAUAUAUAUAGAUAUAUAUAUAUAUAAAUGUACAUAAAUUCAACUAUAUUGUAACGGUUAUUAUACAAGCCACUUAUCUAACGAUGCUAAAACAAACCACUAAUCACACAGAUGUCUCCGUUUGUGUGUUCUCGCUCCGUGCUCAGAUAACUUUUGAAAAGACCCGACGGAUCUGUCUCUCACUGUGGAUAAUUUAUGAAUCCUUUGGGAGCACUCUUCCACAAGGUGAAAAAAAAUACUCAGUUCUCUCUUAUUUUUUUUUUGUUUCGUUUCUUUGCAACAACGACGAUAAUAAUAAUAGUAAUAAUAAUAUAUACAGUACCACAAAGCUGUUGGUGAAUGCAUAUGACAAAUAUCAUUUCUUUCUCCCCCAUUUCCAAUUAUGGCCAAUAUUCUGGCCUUGAGCACGUCCUAGAUGGCGUCCUAGGAAAUGUUUGAAACCACUAUACUUGGAUUUGGCUGAGAGAAACAGCGAUAAGUAAGUUUAAAAUCGAGUUGAAAUUGGAAAGACAACGGUGUCGCUAUUCUGGCCCACACCUUCUGCUGACGGAUCGUGAUGUUUCCACUGUUGUUUGCCGUCGUUCUUGAGACGCGGACACCUGUUCAAGAGAAACUUUACAAAGGUGCAGAGAACAUAGACGAACAAGAGGAAUGUACCCCCCUUCUCCCUCCAUCCCUGCCAUUUCCCACCUUUUAUUCUAUCUUUGACAGCCUGAUUGAGCCAUAUUUAACGUGUAGACUUGCACCACAUUUAUUGCUUGCGGUGUCCAUGGUUCCGAGCGGUGUGAGUAAGUGCAGACGAUACUGAAAUUGAAUUCUGGCAUCUCUGCACCAACAUUUCAUAAAAGCUGAAGGCUAACAGUAGAUUUAUUUUGUAUUAUAUUUCCCAAGAGCUUUAUUUUUUAGCACAUUUUGACACUCCUAUUGUUUAGUGAUCAAACAUUGGACAUUUAUUUUCAAAAACGAUUUGCAGUGCUGUGUUCUCUCAGAAGUCAGUGUAGUCCUCGUCAUAAACCCAACAAAACACAAACUGAAAUACUUCCGGUAUAUGGGUUAGGUCAUUUGGACAAUUGUGAUUUUGUGCAAUUGAGCACUGCAUUCCUACAUCCACAAACAUCCAAAUACAAUAUUUCAUAAUCAAUUAGAUAAUCAAGUUAUAAGAUAUGGACUCUUUCCUGACUUGGUUUUGGAUGGGUGUGAAUUAACUACUGAGUGAGAGAUCCAGCCUUGUAAUAAAGCCCAUUUUUUUCGCACUGAAACCCAAAAAGCCUUUAAAUUCUCCUUAGUAUUUAAAUAUCUGUAUUUAUGGAUAAAUAUAUACAGUACAGAUUAUUAUUAUUAUUUUGUAAAUAGCUAUGGUUUAUUCUCCUGUGGUAAAGACAAGAGUGAGGCACAUGUUUAAUCUCACAGGCAAGUUAAACAGCGAUGGGUAGCAAUAGGACUCAAGAUGAUGGCACUUGUUUCUAGAACAGAGCCUGCAAUCGGCUGCCAUCAGCGGACGGCCUGACGGGCUGACGCGACUCUAGAGAUCACAACAGUGAACCUAUCAGACCAUAACCAUAUGGAGGUGGAACAUGAGCAAGAAUGUCCUCAAGACUUCAUGCUUGCUCAAUGUCUCUUGUUUAUUUUGUAAAUUUUGAAGGCAUUGAACGAACACAGUUUUGACUACAUGUUCGAAAAAGUGACAGCGGCGAGAUUUCUAUUUGGAAAACCAAACCAUGAUUCCACACUUAUAGAGAUCAUGCCUCAAGACUUGGGGGGGGGGAAGGGGGCUGGCGUAGGGUAUUUGUCCCGAGGAGACAAAUUCCAAGCAUUUCCGAGCAAUUCCAAGCAUGAUAUGAGCAGGCAUGCCAAAUAAAGGGCUGGUCAAAACAUAUACAUAGAACUCUGCACGCUACAUGGAAAACCAUAAUAGCUAUGCUGGAAGCCCAGACAUAAAUGUCUGCUAGCCACAGCUCUCGGUGUGAGUGUCCUCAACACACGCCUGCCUAGCCCCAAGACUGAGGCUCUCUCCUAUUAAACAGACUCCAAAUUGUAAACAGGCGUGAUCGGAAUAACAAUUGCAUUCUCGGUGCAUUUUUUGUCUGUGUUUGUUUCCACGUGUGUUUGUCUGUUUUUAAAGAUUGUACAUAGGUCUCUAACCCCAAUCCCCCCCCCCCAGACUAAAGAAGGAGCUUGAUACAUCAGUGAUACACACCGUCCUCCAUAUUCAGUAUAAAGUAAAAACCACAUAGCACUGCGCUGUUGUCAGUGGGUCAUGUACAAAACUAUAUUUUGUAGGCAAAAAAUAAAAGAAAGAUAAAUUAUUUUUUAAAUAUAUUAUGAGCAUGUGUUCAGUGUAAAUAACGUAAAAAGUCUAAACUGAUUUUAUAUCCUGUAUUUUUUACUCAGUCUAUCUUUUUUUUCGCUUUUGUUUGGGUGUUUUUUUUAUUUUGGGGUGGAGGUGUCGAGAAACAGCGUAUUAUUUUUAAAAGGCAAAAUAUCUUUUUUUGCCAGCCUGUUUUCAUAUUGAUAUAUCCACUGCUCACAGUCAUCUAAGCACAAAGUCGACUUCCUGUUCCUCUCCACACACACACUUACUGAACAGGAUAUUUCUGAAGGUAAUCAAAAGCAAAUCAUGAAUUGCCAUUUCAUUGUAUUACACUUUUCUUUUAGUUUUGGACCAUUUGUGCAGAAUAACCAUAUUUCCACAAGGCACAAACUAAUGACGAUGUAUGUGCUCCCAUGUUCUUAGCCUGCAUAUAAAACCUUCUUCAACAAAACAAUAAUCAGUGACACCAUAUUUUACUGUCCCCCCAUGAACAUCCAACGCAUAUGUGUCUGGGGGGUCGUGUUACACAUACCACUCCUCUAGGAUCUGUGCUAUGCAGUGUAAAUAAACAUGACAAAACGUGUGUUGCCCUUGGUUGUGAUAUUAGACCAACAAAGCAGUGUCCAUGUUCACCUAUUAAUGUCUUAUGGGAACCCUAAAUUAUUCUCCUCUACCUCAUGUGUAUAGCUUGUAGGUAUAAACAGAUCACAAAUGACUGGUAAGAAUGUAUUUAAGUUAUUUAACAUCUUUGUAUAACAAAGUCGAAAAAAAUCUGAAAUAAUAAAUGAAUUUUUAAAUUACG